rnacentral:tRNA from 1 species
AGAAAUUUAAGUUAACAGACUAAA